rnacentral:rRNA from 1 species
CAUGUAGGCUGUACGGCAAGUUGGAGGUGAAAUCCCACGGCUCAACCGUGGAACUGCCUUCAAAACUACCGAACUGGAGUGCGAGAGAGGAUAGCGGAAUUCCAGGUGUAGGAGUGAAAUCCGUAGAUAUCUGGAAGAACAUCAGUGGCGAAGGCGGCUAUCUGGCUCGUAACUGACGCUGAGAUGCGAAAGCGUGGGGAGCAAACA